ensembl:miRNA Mir1251 microRNA 1251
GUCAGCUAUGUGGACUCUAGCUGCCAAAGGCGCUUCUCCUUCUGAACAGAGCGCUUUGCUCAGCCAGUGUAGACAUGGCCUGAU